rfam:Toxocara canis scaffold405, whole genome shotgun sequence.
GCGGCAGUGGCUCAGUGGUAGAGCCUCCGCUUCGCAUGCGGGGUGACCUGGGUUCGAUUCCCGGAUGCUUCC